AGAGAAGUUUCAUACCUGUUAGAUCUCCUGCUGCCAGGAGCUAACCUCCUGGGAGACAGGUCUUAUCGUCAUCCAGGCAUAUAGGAGGGUGUUGGGAAAACACUUGUAGUGGAUGCUGGAUUGUGCCAUUCAGAGCCAGCUCCCUUUGCUAUUGAAGAACUUAUUUCCCUACAUGUCAAGACUUCUGCUGGCUGAUGGCCCCCAGCUGUGAGCUCUUUCAGGCAUCACCUUUGGCUGCAAAAGGCUCCCUCUCCUGAAGUUACUACCUGCAUCCCUGGAGGCAGACUUCAUCUCAUGUCUUCAUCCAAAGUUUGAACAAAUUGGCUAAGAAGGUGCUAGACAUGUAAAGGGACUAUUUUUUUUCUUAAUUCAAAUGUAGGAGGAGUAUGGAUCUCCAGGAACCAGAAGAGCUGCAUACAUAUAAACAAAGCUCCAAAUUUGGAAGCAGCAGUGAAACUCCACAGAUUACUGAGGGCAAAAUUGCUGGGUCAUAUGCAGUGAAAAGAAAGAAAAAAAGACUAAGCCAGGAAACCUCUUGAAGGCCCAGAGAAGUAGGCACGUAUAUAAGGUUGAAGUUUGAGUUAGAUAGUUGAUCAGAUUCAGGUUCUGAUCUUUGAGCCAGAACACUUCCAAGGUAGAAUUGUUUCUUUCCACUAAAAGCACAUCAUGUCUGCUUGUCUUUUUGUGAGAUGCCCAGACUGGAGCUGCCACAUAGGAGACACUUGGUGAGCUCUCAAGGGAGAUUGGAUGUCUAUGGAGAAUCCACGUACCUAUAUCAUAUUAGUUGGAGCAAAACACAGACUCUGGGAUGAAAGGCAAAAGUGUUAUAAUGAGGCCAAUGGAAUGUGCUGAAUCCGUUCCUCAAAGAAAAACAAAACCAAAUAUCUCUCCAAGUCUGGAUUAUACCAGAGUUUCCAAAUCAUAAACAACCAAUGAAAAAAGGAUCAUAUCAUUAUGCGUUUCUACAAGGCCUCACUGAGAUAUGAGUUUCUGACUUAUAAAAUUUUUCUUCUUUUCUGAAGAACUUCCUUUUAACAUUUCUUGCAAAACUGAUGUACUGAUGGCAAAUUUCCUCAAUUUUUGUUCAAGAAAAGCUAUUUCUCCUUACUUUUGAAGGAUCAUUUUACUGAAUACAGAAUUCUAUGUUGGUGUAUUUUUUAUUUCAACACCUUAAAUAUUUCACUUCACUUUCUUCUUGCCUGGCUUCUGAAGAAAAUUUCCAAGUAAUUCUUAUCCUGAUUCUUCUACAG